GAGAAAAUGUUUAGCGGUAAGUGUGGCAUAAGCAUAUGCACAUUAGUGAUUUAAAAUUGUGGUUUAUUUUAGCCUCUACUUUUCUCCUGGGUUUUUCAUGUUUCAGUUCAAUUUAAUGGAGACAGGUAUGGUCAAGGAGCUAACAGGUGGCUAUAAAAUUCAAUACAUGCAAAUGGGUUGGAUUGUGAUCCAACAGAGAUCGACUUUACUCCACCUUUCAGAAGGAUUGACAUGAUAGAAGAGUUGGAGAAGAUGGCCAACCUCAGCAUACCAAAAGAUCUUUCCAGCGAGGAAAC